GAUAAGCGUUUCCGGGGUAAGAAAGGGCAUUUGCGAGAGGACGAAGAGAGGAGAGAUCUACGGAAGAGAGUCCCCUCACCAGAAGCGGGUUCUUCUUUCACUUGAAGAGGGAGCCUAUUUUGCUGGAAGAGCCAAAACAGUGAGGAAAUUUGAUUCGGGUCCUUCAUCUCUGAGGAAGGCACAAUUCCUCCAUUCACCAAGAUGAAUGGAUUCUGUCUACGCAGCUCGCAGCUGGAGUGACUCUUGAGGGGGAAAAAAAAAAUCAAAAUGCAAUAUCUGAUAGCCAAUCAGAACACUACCUAGAUGGCCUGUUAUUAUUUUUAAAUUAAAAAGCAUGAUUUCUGCUAGUCAGAACAUCAGGUUUGAAUAACUCACAGUAGAAAAUCUCAAGCAGCUCUACCUCUAGACAGUUACUGCCUAGGGAGAAAGGGGCAGUACUGAGUCUUUUGAAUCUGGCUGUUUGAUUUUUAAAAUGGAAAAACAAAAUCUACCCAAAUAUAUAUCCGUUUGCAUAGGAUCAGGCUCCCAAAAAAAUCAGAAUGAAAUCAGCCUCAUUUUCCUCAUCUCCUUCUUUAAUCUAGAGAUAGGUUUUAUAAAUUUUCUGAACCAAAGAAAAGAAAACAUUUUUAA